UGAAAACGUUUUAAAAUAGUUAUGUUCUUGAAUUUCGUUAAAUUGAAAAAGAAUUGCCAAUUUUUUAUUGGAAGGAGAUUAUUCUUCUUCAGUUCAGCGAAAAAUAUAAUAUAGGAGGAAGAACAAGA
rnacentral:sRNA from 20 species